rnacentral:lncRNA from 1 species
GCUGAAGUCUGUCAGAAAUUUUGUGGACCCUGAUAACAUCUUUGGAAACCUAAACCUUUUUUUUAUAGAUCCUGAUGUCCAAAAAGCCACCAGUUCUGUAUGUGUGUGAUCAUGUUUUAAUACAUGGUGGAACCUCCAUAUAGUUAUCCCACUUAAACAAUAUUUUUUUUUUCAGAACAACUAGGAAUGAAAUAGGAGAAACAAAAUGAAUUACUAUUGUUCCAAAGUGCUUUGUUUAAUACAGGUUUCGGAAGAGUUGUCUUGCUGUGUUAAGGUCCCAAGUGGCUCCUGACAAGGAAGGGGCAGCAAACUAUAGACAUAUGUUAUAUUAAGUUGCCCUCACUUGUCAGGUCUUGGAAACCCACUUAUUUUAUUGCAGAUGCCUCUAUGACACCACGUUACAAAUUGACUAAGCAUACUUAUUAUUAUCCUAUUUUAUUUUAGUUAUUUCACAUUGCGCAGCCUAUUCAAACAAUGUCUAGGUCCCAACUUCAGCUUGUACAUCCUCUAAGAGUCAGCAUUAAUACAGUUUUAUCUAUAUAUAAAGUAUUAAAAACAUGAACCAUCUGUGUAUUAGGCUGAGGUUGUUAGGUGUGAGUAUAGGUUGGUAUUGAGGAACCUGCCAGGGUGGGUCCUUGAAUGCCAGCUGGGCCAGGUUCUCCCUUAGCACCGGGUUCUCCUUUGUUUCCUUGAGCACCAGGUUCACCAUUGUUAUCCUUAGGUCCAGGGGAACCUCCGGGGCCUUGAGGUCCAGGAGCACCACAGGCACCAGGGAAGCCAGGCUCCCCAGCAAUACCUGGAGUGCCAGUGUGGCCAGCUUGACUGGGAGAACCGGGUUCACCACGAGCACCUUGAGGUGAACCCCUGCUAUCCAUAAUUAAAACAGUGCUGAAGUUACCACCUCUACAAAAGUUAGAUCCUUUGAUCAAAUCCUCAACCUCUGCCUCCAAAACCUUUCUGAUUCAAUCUCCUAUCACCUCCCAAAUGUCCUUGUCUCGCCUGCUUAAGAUCACAAUCCUUUGUGACCAAUACAACAUACUUCUCCCUCUUUCUUUAUAUCAAAACAAGCUGCUGUAUCUUUCUCAUGAAUCUUCCAAAGAAAUUCAGUUGGGGUCAAAGAGGGCCAAUCACAGACCAACAGUUUGACCAAAAGUGAACAAGGAGGAAGCAUAUUCCAUAUGGAGGUCGAGAUUACCUAACUCACACCCCCUCUUUGUGUACACCUCAUUAUGUACCACACAGAUAUAAUAUU